GAGGCUCUCAAGGAUCAAGGAAUCUGCCGGUGGAAUCAUGUCUUAAGAUCCGCCCAUCACUACGCCAGAAACCAUGUCCGGUCUAUUUCUCAGGCCAAGAAGCUUUCCUCCGCCGUGCCUUCCGCCAACCACCUCCAACAGUCCGAGGAAUCUCUGAGAACGGUGAUGUACCUUAGCUGUUGGGGUCCUAAUAACUGAACGGACCGUCGAGAGAUUCCGGUUGUACCGGCGGCGUCAGUUUGUAAUUGUAAUCAACGGGAGCCGGCUUUGGGCGUCUGAUUCUUUCACCAAUUGUAAAC
rnacentral:misc_RNA from 1 species